rnacentral:rRNA from 1 species
UUAAAUUGAAGAGUUUGAUCAUGGCUCAGAUUGAACGCUGGCGGCAGGCCUAACACAUGCAAGUCGAACGGUAACAGGAAGCAGCUUGCUGCUUUGCUGACGAGUGGCGGACGGGUGAGUAAUGUCUGGGAAACUGCCUGAUGGAGGGGGAUAACUACUGGAAACGGUGGCUAAUACCGCAUAAUGUCGCAAGACCAAAGAGGGGGACCUUCGGGCCUCUUGCCAUCAGAUGUG